UACGGGGGGAGCAAGCGUUGUUCGGAUUUACUGGGCGUAAAGGGCGCGUAGGCGGCGCAACAAGUCACUUGUGAAAUCUCCGGGCUUAACCCGGAGCGGCCAAGUGAUACUGUCGUGCUAGAGUGCGGAAGGGGCUACUGGAAUUCUCGGUGUAGCGGUGAAAUGCGUAGAGAUCCGGAAGAACACCGGUGGCGAAGGCGGCCUGCUGGGCAGUAGCUGACGCUGAUGCGCGACAGCGUGGGGAGCAAACAGG
rnacentral:rRNA from 1 species